rnacentral:ncRNA from 1 species
AGUAUUUGUGACCUGUGCAUAACUCUGUGAUUUUAUUAAUACGUAGUCCUUACUAACCCUGUAAUUAAAUUCAUAUAAUGUAUAUUAUGUUAAAU